rnacentral:siRNA from 1 species
GAAAGUAUUUUGUAUGGGUCUCUA